GUUGCUCUCCUUUGGACUCAACAAUCUCCACAUUGCCCCUCCACCCGCUCUCCUUCAACUUGUCAUAAUAAAACCAUCCUCUAGAUCUCAGAAAAUCAUUCUCCGCAACAAAUACCAGCAUCCUGGCGCAUCCCAGGCUCGCUAGGUCCGAACCCGCAACGAUAGGAUUAAUCCACGGAUCAUCACACCCACUUGUGCUACUUGGACAAGUCAAUCUCCACAAUCCCGCGACCCAGUCUCUUUUCUUAGCGUCAGCUGUUUCAUUACCAACAGCUUCUCUGCCCAGAAAAUACGGAUGAAUUAAAACAAUGCCAAUAACAUUAACACCAUCGAGAAUUUCUCGACCAUGUCUCAUGCCCAUGUGAUGAGCUAUGUUAGCGCCAGCACUGUCACCAGAAAAAAACACUCGCUGGAAAUCAGCGAAAUAGUUGAGCCAAUCUUCAGGGCCUUCUCCGUUAACAUGGGAAGCAACCCACUUGAGUGCAGUCCAUGAAUCAUCAUGAGCGCAAGGGACAGGAUUCUCCGGGGCUCUCCGAUAAUCAACCGAGACUGCGAUGACGUUAGCUUCAGAGACUAAGGUGUUGAGGUAAUUGUGGUAAGUGGGAGAAAAGGCGGUUUCGAUGCAAAAGCCUCCGCCAUGAAAAUAAACAAGAAGGGGAAGUUUUUGGUUUUGGUUUUGGUUUUGUCUUUGGUUUGGAAUGUAAAGCCGAGCACAUAGAUUGUUUUCUGGUGAAUACACAAUGUCUUUGGAAUGAACGUUUGUUUUGGGAUCAAAUGAUGCAGGAACGAUGUCGUUUCCUUUGAGCCUUUCUACUUUGCCAUCUUUGUAUACUUUUAUCGUGGGAGAGAGGUCUAUGGCUAUAUCUGCUGCCGGCUCUGUGGAAUACAUGGGUAGAGAAAAAGUGCAGAAAAAUAUUGACGGGCUUUGUUUGGUCUGCCGGAGAAGGAGAAAGGAUAAUGGAGCAAAAAAAUAUGUAGAGAUGAAGACAAGAUUUGGUAUGUGGAAGACAGCAAGAGUGGAUAACGUUACAAUUUAAAAAAAAAAUGAAAAAUGGACAAAAAUGGUGUCCAAACAAAUACAAUUAGGCCCAUGUAAAUCAAGACAAAUGUCACGAUUACUCAAUUCAGAAAAAAAUGAAAAAGGAGUUAUGAAGUGAAAUAUAUAAUUAAAUAAUUAACAAUAAUUGAGCAAAUUAAAAGAGUUAGUAGAGUUGAUUAUUGACACGUCACCUUGUAAUAGUUUUGUAAGUGCCAAACCACUCUCUUUCAAUUUUUUGUUUUUGUUUUUUGGCACAAGAUAAUAUGAGGAUUGGUAAGAUUUUAAUCCUUGAAUUAUCAUAACCGAAACUGUAAUUUCAAAAAUCGUAUCAGUUUUUGUUGAAGAUAGUAGAAAAUUUUGUUUGGUAAGGACUGCCUUCUUUGUGGAUUUAUCUAAAUCACGCUCUUUAUUUCUCACCAACUCUGAUUUGGCUUGGCUCCACGUCUCUUGAAUAAGUGGCAAGCAAAUUAUCCUUCUGAUCAACAACCAAAUUAUUGUAUAUUUUAUGCUUAGGCAUUACAUAUCUUGAUUGAGCAUAGCCACAGCGUUGCAUGCGGCUCUCGUUUAGACUCUGCUGUCUCCAAAUAUUUGUAUAGAUAUUUUGGACUUCAAAGAAAUUGUGGCAUUUCCAAUAUAAAAUUAUUGAUAAUUUUUUUGUUGCUCCAUCCAAUAGAAAUCACAAUUUUUGUUUUUCUUCUGAAAGACAGACAUGACGAAGUAAAUUUUCAUCUUCAUCACGUUGGCAUGCAGAAAUAUUUAUUUCUCCAUAUUUGUAUCAUAGAUUAUUGACAUUCAUACAAGUCAUAUUUAUUUAAUACUUUAAUUUUACUUAACUUAUUUUUAUUAAUUAAUAAAACAAUUAUGAAGACCGGCAGUCAACUGUGUCCGACCGCUAUCAUGAUCAUCUUUUAUCAGCAAAUCACCGGAUUAGUAGGAUAACUUGCUAAGUGAAAUGAAUGAAGUUGCUAAAAAUUGAAAGAAACAGAGCUCAUAUUGGAUCUAUUCUGAUCCGAAAUCAAAGACAAAUCGAUGGACUCCGUGAACAGUACUACUAAUACAUCAAGUUGUCUUAAUUGAUUUACGAAUGAAUCUAAUUAUUAAUACAUCAAUGAUUCCAGAAGGCCAAAACCUUUUCCGAAUUCUGAUUCCACAGAAUCCCACUUGUAUUUUGAGCCGCAAUCAACCGAUGCUUAUUUCUUCUGAGGGAAAAAAAAAAAAAAAAAGGAAAGAAAAUCACACACACACAGUAGAGUUAUAAUUACCUUAUUCAUCUUUCCUCCCAAAUAUUUGCCGAACCAAAGCAAAUAACUCUUCAGUUUCAAGGCUUAUCCUGAUUGAAGAAAGAACAAAUUUUCUUGAGCAUAGACCCAGCAUUUUCACAAGUGGGAUUGAUCAAAUGGAACACAUGUUGCUCUCCUUUAGACUCAACUAUCUCUACAUGGCCUCCCCACCCACUUUCCUUCAACUUCUCAUAGUAAAACCAUCCUCUAGGGCACAGGAAAUCCUUCUCCGCAGCAAACACCAGCACCCUGGCGCACCCCAGGCUCGCGAGGCUCGAACCGUCAGCACACGGAUUAACCCACGGAUCAUCGAGCCCGCUUGUGCUUGGACAAGUAAAUCGCCAAAAUCUCUCCGUUCCAGCUCUUAUUUUAACAUCAGUAGGCUCGGAACCAACAGGUUCAACACCCCAAAAGUAUGGAUGAAUCAAGACAAUACCAACAACAUUAAAGCCGUCGAUGAUUUCUCCACCGUUUCUUAUUGCCAUGUGAUGAGCAAUAUUAGCACCAGCGCUGUCCCCAGAGUAAAACACUCGCUCAAAAUCAGCAUUACGGUUGAGCCAAUCUUCGGGGCCACUUCCGUCAACAUGGGAAGCAACCCAUUUGACUGCGUCCCAUGAAUCUUCAUAAGCGAUAGGAAGGGGAUGCUCUGGGGCUCUUCGGUAGUCGACCGAGACUGCGAUGAUGUUAGCUUCAGAGACCAAGUCGUUGAGGUAAUUAUGGUAAGUUGGUGAAAAAGCAGUCUCGAUGCAAAAACCUCCGCCGUGAAAAUAAACAAGAAGGGGAAGUUUUUGGUUUUGAUUUGUGUUUUUCGGGAGGUAAAGCCGAGCAGAUAAAUUAUUUUCAGGAGAAUACACAACGUCUUUGGAAUCAACGUUUGUUUUGGGAUCAAGUGAUGGGGGAACGAUAUCGGUGCCCCUAAGCCUUUCUACUUUGCCGUCUUUGUGUACUUUUAUCAAAGGAGAGAAGUCAUGGGCGACUUCUGAUGAUGCGUUGGCGGAAUCCAUGGAGAAGAAGCAGAGCACAAAAUGUGGAGGGCGUUUGCUUUUGUAAAGAUGAUAACGAAAGGAUUUGGCCUGUGCAGGACAGACAGGGAUUUGUCCCCGCCAUACCCUAAAAGGUUAGGUAUUUAUCCAACUACAUCCCCAUAAUUUAAAAUUUCUUUUAUAUACCUUUUUCAAUGUGCAAUUACAGAAUUACCCUUUUUUCAAAUUUCAAAAUCUGCCUUCACGAGCUACCAUACACAACGCCUGUCCUGCUGCUGCAAGUUCAUGCUCCUGCUGCUGCAAGUUCAUCCACCACAUUAAAGGUUACAAAAUCACCGAAUUAAAGGCUGGAAAUUUACCGAACUAAAGGUCAUUAACCACAUUUACACUUGAUUUUUACUUUAUAAAGAGAAUUUAUGGUGCAUAAUUGUUAGGGUUAUAUGCAUUAGGGUUUUAAAAAACAAAUUACCCACAUGAUUUUGGUCAUUAUCUUGCUUAUUUACUGAUAAUCUUUCUUGUUGGUAAUGUAAUGAAGCUUCCUGAACUUGUGGAUUUGAAAUUGAAGAGAGUGAUUUCAUGGCUCUUUAAUAAUGGUUGUGGGAGUUCCUAAUUAAAUAUUCAUAGAGAAUUGGAUAAAACAAAUAUUAUCCUUAUGAAUACUCGGUUAUGGCUACACUAGUUUAUGCAUUAGAUCUUUAUAUAAUUUUACUUGUUGUUUGUAGUUGAACUUCAUCCAUGGGAAUUAUAUAUCAAUUUUCUUCAGCUGCGUAUGCAUUCAUUAUGCUACAAUCUGGGUUUUCUCUAUUAUUUGCUAUAGAACCUUUAUUUUGCAAUUCUAAUUUAUUAACAAUUUGCUAUUUAUUUCAGCAUAAAACUAUUGAUAGUACACUAUUAAUAAGUGUGUUUUGAACGACUUGUGAAUUUUGAAACAAUGUUGGAUCAUUUUAUUAAUUUGUCUCACUGUGAGGCUAUUGACUGAAGAAGUCACAUAGCAUUUAGGAUUUGAUAUUAUUGUGCAGCAAAUGUUGUUGUAUAUAUUUCCAACUAGUUAACUAUUGGAGAAUUGCCCUUUAAUACACUCGUCCUAGACUUGUUUUUAGUUUUUGAUAAUUAUACACAUACUUAAUAGCUUAUUAAUCAGAUUUAACUAAUGAAAAUUAAUUGUUUGAGUGUUAUGGAAAAAUUCAACAUUUUCUUUGAAUAUUUAUACUUUAUUUGGAAUUGUUAACAUACUUGAUACAUAAAGUUUGAUUUUUAUGUCAUGUGGCAGUGAUGGUUUAUUUCUUUUUUUUGUUUAGUACUCAUUUAAAAAUUAUUUGAGUUCAUAGUUAUUGGCAAUAUAUUUUAAUUUGAUGGGUUUGUUCUUGAAAUAAUAUAGUUAUGCUGAUCUUGUAGAUGCUAGUUGUAAGAAAGUCAUGUUGUCUUAUAUAUAGAACAUUUUUAAGUUGUAAAAAGUUCUCAUACCUGUUGCUUUUAUGUUGUGUGAUCAUUUAGUAGAUUGAUAAUAUAUUACGACAGUGAUAAUAAAUUUGAAGUAUUAUUUUUACUACAAAUUGAAAUUAUAUUUUUUCGACUUAACAAUAACAAUGGUGAUUUUUAACGAUUGAUUUAUAUGAAUGUUUUUAGUGGUGAUUGUGGAGCAUUUUUGUUGCAGUUCUUGGAGGUCUUGGCCCACUGACCUGAUGUCAAUUCAUAUUACCAACAAGAUGAUGUUGCACAAUUUCAAAAAGCAUUGGCUGUCAAAUUAUUUUGGAGUAGGUCUUGGAAAAAAAACUACGUAGUGUCCCACUCUUAAAAACUUCAUUGAUGUGUCAUUUUUUGGAUUACUUAUCAUGAGAUGUAAUUAUUACAAUGGGAUGUUGUUGAUAUUUGAUAUCAUUAAAGUUAAUUUGACAUCAUACAUAUGUUUUUUUUUAUUAAGUAUAUUAAUGACAGAGAAGAUAGUUUUUUAUGAUGUAUGUGAUGUAAUAGAAUGGUCAUAUAUGCUCAAGAAAUGCUCAGCCCAAACACAUGACUGUCGUCGAGUAUUUUCACAAAUACUCGACUGCAGUCGAGUAUUUACAAAUAUACAUGACUAGCUGGUAUUUGCAUUGGUUCACGACUGUAGUCGGGUAUUUUCACAGAUAUUCGACUGCAAUCGAGUAUUUACAAACAUACAUGACCAGCUAGUAUUUGCAUUAGUACAUGACUAUAGUCGGGUAUUUUCAUAGAUACUCGACUGCAGUAGAGUAUUUCCAAACAUAUAUAACCAGAUGGUAUUUGGAUUGGUACACGACUGAAGUCAUGUAUUUUCACAUAUACUGGACUGCAAUCUAGUAUUUCCAAACAUAUAUGACCAGCUGGUAUUUGCAUUAGUACACGACUGCAGUCGGGUAUUUUCACAUAUACUCAACUGCAGUUGAGUAUUUACAAACAUACAUAACCAGCUGGUAUUUGGAUUGGUACACGACUGCAGUCGGGUAUUUUUACAGAUACUCGAUUGCAGUCGAGUAUUUCCAAACAUAUAUAACCAGGUGGUAUUUGGAUUGGUACACGACUGCAGUCGGGUAUUUUCACAGAUACUCGACUGCAGUUGAGUAUUUGUAAACAUACAUAACCAAUUGGUAUUUGCAUUGGUACAUAACUUUAGUCGGGUAUUUUCAUAAAUAAACGACAAUAGUCGAGUAUUUAAUAGAUUCACAUUUAUAGUUGAGUACAAUCAGACAUACACGACAAUAGUCGAGUAAGAGCCAAAAUACACGACUGUAGUUGGGUAAGUGGAUAUAGAACAUAAAAUUACCCAAAACAUUCAUUAUAAUGACAACAAAAUCAACAUAGGCUUUAACAUAUCAUACUUCAAUUUAACAAAUAACAAAAGUAAUUGUACAUCAAACAACAUAGAUCCAAUACAUGUUCAAAUCAUAAAUAAGUCGUAAUACAAUGGAAGUUGCUGCACAAUCAUCAUAAUUAUUUGCAUGCUCAGCCCAAAGACUUGACCCAUGUAUUAUAAGGCCCCAUUCGCCUCCUUUUGAAAACAGCAUAAGCCACACAAACAUGUUUAUCCAGUUGCAAAACAAAAAAGGUAGAAAUUUAUCAACUAACUAUUUUAGAUAUUAAAGAAAUUAAAAGAACAAAAAUGACAAGUAUGUAAGGUUCAUAGUAGUAUGUGUGCUUGUUUUUGUUUCAUUCGGUCUAACUACGGGCUCAUUGUUAGACAGUGAGAUUGGUGCAUUGCAAGUUAGUCGAUUAUAUCAUUAAGAACCACACCUACCGUACUUACGGCGUAACUUUUCUUCACCUUGUGAUGCUAUCCUAAUUUCUUAUGAUUCUAAAGAAUAAUAGGCACACAUACUGAAGUCACUUCUUACAAUAAUACAACAGAUGAUUAUACAAAAAAAAAACAAAAAAAUCAAACAAGGUAUAUUAUGAAGUGUGGAACUGUCUGUCUAUUUACACGACUGCUGUCGUGUAAUUGCUAGUUUACACGACAAUAAUUGUGUAACUUGCUAAAAUACACAAUUAUAGUCUAGUAAACAAUUAGAGAAUAUGUUUAGUAAAAAAAUGUAAUCUUUAUACUAAUAGAUUACUAUGUGUCAUAACAGCUACUAUAUCUUUCAAUCUUGCACAACUGCUAUCGUGUAAAUUCAUACAUACAUGAUAAAAGUCAUACAUACAUGAUGACAGUUGUGUAAGUUAUAGAAAUACAUGACUAUAAAUAGUCAAAGGACACAUUUCUUCUUCAAAAAAUAUUUUUCUUGCACUAAUAAAAUGUUGGGAUCUCAUAACAGUUGGAACAUUUUACAUAUAUGUACAAUUAUAAUAUAUAAGUUCAUACGUAUACGAUAGUAGUCGUGUAACUUAUUAAAACACACAACUAUAGUCUAGUAAUAGUAAAAGGAUAUAUCUAGUGAAAAUAAUAUAUUUUUUUGCACCAAUAAAAUGAUAGGGUGUCAUAAUAAUUUGAAUCUUUUGCACAUUUUCACGACUACAGUCGUGUAAAUCCAUACAUACACGACUGCUGUCGUGUAUGUUGGGGUGCAGAACAAAAUUUUGGCAGCAACUUUAGGUUUUAACGAAUGUAGUUAUAAAAUCCAUCAAAUAACAGUCAUAUGAUGCAAAUAUAAUGAAAAUGUGAGUUGCUUUAUUGUUUAUCACAAACCAAACAAAACCCUAAAAAUAAUAUAAUGUCAACAAAAUAAAUAAAUAACACAAAAUAAAAUAUAAAGUUUCAAAUACCUUAUUCAUGUGAUGAAUAAUGCACCCAGCUGCAAACUAAAAUCUCAGUACAUUGGCUGUUCGUGAGUGAUUUUAAGUGUGGAGUGAGUUUUUGUUGUGUGGAGUUAAAAAAAGUGAGAAGUAAAGAGUGUUGGAGGUGAGUUGUGUGUGUUUUAUAUUUUUCUUUAGGGAUAUUUUAGACAAUGUACCACAUAAAAAGGUAUAUCUAGAUAAUUUUUAAGCAUGUAAAUAAAAAAAAUUAUUAUUUUUUAUCUGUAAAUAUAAAUAUCUCAAUUAAUAUUAUCUUUAAAUAUUACUAAGAAGUAAAAGUUGUUUAAGUGUGUGUGUAUAUAUAUAUAAUUAUAAUACAUACAUACGUGUGUGUAUUCAACUGUUUAUUCUUAUCAUAUGAUUGAUAUGAUACGUAUUCUAAAAUUUAUUUUAAUUUGAGAUAUUUAGUUGAUAUAUUAAUUAAUGUAUUAGGGAUAAAAUUUUAUUAUUUAAAUAAAAAAUAAAAAAAAUUAUUAUUAUUUAUCUGUAAAUAUAAAUAUCUCAAUUAAUAUUAUCUUUAAAUAUUACUAAGAAGUAAAAGUUGUUUAAAUGUGUGUGUAUAUAUAUAAUUUGUGUGUGUGUGUGUUCAAUUGUUUAUUCUUACUUAAAAUAUCAAGAAUCCUAUCAUAAGAAUGGAACUCGAAUCCGUGAACCCAAUAUUGGGUGGGAAUAUGGGAUGGGUGCGAGUACAGUCGGGGGAGCCCACUCGAUUGGCGUUGGGUACGUAACGUUGGAGGCGAUGAAAACAAAAAUCAAUUAAUUCCUCUCCACAUACAAGAGCUUUUGCGAAUCACAGAUGUGACCUAAUGAAAAGUGAUAACGUGAUAAGUGUCAUUCAAUUAUUGAUAGAUACUUUUGACAUCUAGAAACAUGUUGAAAAAUUAUGCAUAAUUGUGUCUCGUAGCAAAUUACGUUUGCAGUGUGGUCGCUUAAGUCAGUUCCCUGAAAUAAUGGGCAUGGUGCAUCCAUCCAUCUUGCAGACGGCGGAAUAACAAUGAAAGGUGAAUUUAGAGCUAGGUUAAAUCGAAUCAAACUGUAGUUUCUUUUUCACAAAUUGGCUCCUAUACAAUUAAACUCUUUAAUAUUCAAUCCUCAUUAUUCAUAAGCUUGAUUAAUUAAAAUAGUUAUUAAAAAGCCAAAAAAAAACAAAAGAGAUAGAGAGAGAACAUUGGAGUACAAGUAGAUAUAUAAUUAAAUAACACUGAAUAUAGUUCAUAAUAUAUGAUCGUCCAGUUGGUUAGCAGGACAAUAAGAAAAUGUUGGGUUGGACGGUUGGUGAUGAAAUAAAGCAUUAAAUAUGAAUGAAAGAAAAAAAAAUAUAUGGACGACAUAUGCAGUAGAUGGAUGAUUUGAUGUGCAUAUUUGAUGUGCAUAUUUAAUUACUCUUUAUUUCAUUGUCGUGAGUAAAUUAAAAAUUGAUUUUAUUGCCAUUCAAUUUGAUAAUUUUAAGUAAUUUUCUUGUGCUAAUCAACUAAAUUUCGAAUCUUAAAAAUAAUAGGGACUACAAAAUAAUUUGUAUUUUAUUCAUCCUAUCUUUUAAAAAAGAAAAGAAACAUGACGAUAGAAAGUUAAUUCGGUGAGCAUGCUUACGCUGGUUGAACAGUGUAUACAACCAGCUAAAGGUCUACGAGUCAGAAUUUGGUGUUUUCUUGCCCAGCCUUUUAGGGUUUGUGUAAAUAAAAGUCAUAUAAAUGAAACACUAUCUUAAUAUUAAAUUGUGGAACCACUUUGACUAGCUAGUGAAAGGCUGCCAUUCCAUUAGGAAAUCCGACAUAAUUUUCAAGGGAUCACUCUCUCUGAUGGCAAUAUUGCCCGCCAACCCAAAAAUCUCUUCCGUUAAAAUUAUGACUAAUACUUAGUAAAAGGAGGAAAGGUAGUGUUAGUACAAUCUGAUGAUUGUCAAAUAUAUAUUAGCAAAAGGAUGAGUACAUUGAUACAAAUUCAAACUUUUUUUUUCCUUUUUAUCCCUAAUCACCUAUUACAUUAUUUUAAUUUCCAAUUUUUGUGAAAGUCUAACGGGUAGUUGUCUUGUCAUUAUUUUUUUUUAUAAGGUCUUGUCAUUAUUUGGUUUCAAGUAAGAAGAGAGAAAGUUAGUGAGAGGAUGAAAAUUUUACAAAAACUUGUUACUGGCUGUGGUAAUUAAGUAAUUUGAAUUCUUCUUUUUAUUUAUUUUUUUACUCUUUCCUGUUUUAAAACAAAUUAUGAGUUUUCAUGCUUAUAAUAAUUCUUAUAAACGUCAUAUGGUUUGGCAUAAAAUUAGGUAAUUGGAAAGGCCCUGGUGUUGGAUGAAAUUAUCAAUUACGUGUAGCCCCUAUAAAAUCAAUUGGAGACAACAUUGUUACUAAAAAAACCUUAGUAACACAGUAAUAAUGCAUUAAUCUUCUUUAAUAUAUUGUUGUAUUCCUACUUUAUUUAUUGAGUUUUGUAGUUUUUUUGGCACUAUUUUCUCUUAAUUUCAUACAUUGCUUUUUACUAUUUUCCAAUCUUUCUAUGUUGCUUUUGGAUCACUACAAUUGCUGGUUGUGAUUUAUUUUAGCCUACUAUUGUAGGUCUUUAUAGUUGCCGAGUUUUGUUUAUGUUUAGCUACUUUAUUAAAGCAAUUUUGCAUAAUGAAGUUAUGGCUAACCUUUAUUAAAUACUUCUAACUUUUGUCGAUACAUUUUCUUAACUUUUAUACUGAAGAUUUUUUUUUUUUGGUUUUUCAAGUAAUUUAAUCCUUAAUAACAUUUUCUAACAAAAUUAAUUACAUAAACGAUCAGGAAAAAAAAAGUAGAAUCGUUGUAAACUGUCUUCUGUUCAUCGUGGUUGAUCAACUCUCAUGUGCAACAUCUAAAUCCAAUGGUACUUGAAACAAAAAAGACUUUGUUUUAUGACUUUUAUCUUUAUAUUUCUUUGCAAGGAACAAUAUUUAUUUGGAUUUCAAUGUCAUGCUUUGUAUUUGAAUCUUUUGGAUUGUAAUUACAUAUUUUAAAUCCUUUUUCACGUGACUACAAUUUUUUUGGUCACUAAAUUUCAAUUUAUGCCACUACAAUAUGAAAAAAUGAUAUUUGAAAAGAACACUGAUUUUAUUCUUCUAUAUGUAUUGCAGUAGAAUUACAGAGAAUUUAUAUAUAAGUUUGCAAGAGCAAAUAUUCACAAAAAAAGAAAGUAAAUAACGAUCCCAUAUUCAAAGGGAUUACAAAUCAGCCACAUAUAAGGAAGCAAUCUCUCUCAAUUAGUCAAGUGAAGCCAACGAAAUCUUAACACUCCCCCUCAAGUUGAAGCAUGUAUAUCUAGCAUGUUCAACUUGGUUGUUAGCCUCUUAAACACUUUUCCUCCAAGAGCUUUUGUAAAAAUGUCUGCCAACUGUAAAUGAGAUGGAACAAAUUUCGUGAUUAUCUGACCAUCUUGUAUUUUCUCCCUUACUCCAUGACAAUCAAGGUCUAUGUGUUUGGUGCGUUCAUGAUAUACCAGAUUUGUUGCUAUGUGAAGAGCAGCUUGGUUAUCAUAUAAUAGCCUUGCUGGUCCUAUGGAAAUUUGCAUAUCAUUGAAUAAAAAUCUAAGCCAAGUGAGCUCACAGGUUGCUGCUGCCAUGGACCUGUACUCAACUUCUGAUGAUGAUCUUGAGACUGUUUUCUACUUCUUUACUUUCCAAGAAAUCAAAGAAUCCCCUAAGAACACACAAUAACAUGUUGUUGAUCUUCUUGUUAUAGGACAAGUUGCCCAAUUAGCAUCACAGUAAGCCUUUAAAGUAAAGGAACUGCUUGAGGAGAAUAACAAACCUAAACCAGGGUUGCCCUUUAAAUAUUUAAUAAUACGAAGAGCAGCAUCCCAGUGAGGCUUUCUUGGAGCAUGCAUAAAUUGGCUUAAGAUGUUAACUGAGUAUGUAAUGUAUGGUCUCGUAAUUGUGAGAUAUAUUAGUCGGCCAACUAAUCUCCUGUAGCGAGUUGGAUUAUGCAGCAAAUCACCUUAAUGGUUUGUGAGCUUCAAAUUCAUCUCCAUGGGAAAAUUUACCAGUUGAGCACCCAAGUAUCCAACAUCAUCUAUGAUUUCUAAGGUAUAUUUUCGUUGAGAGAUAACAAGACCUGCUUUAGACCUUGCAACUUCCAGCCCAAGAAAAUAUUUAAGAAGACCGAGAUCUUUGAUAUGAAAUUGUUGGUGAAGAAAUUGUUUGAGAUUAUGUAGAGCGACUGCAUCAUUUCUGGUUAUCACCAUAUCAUCUACAUAAAUAAGAACUGUGGUUAUAGAUGUGCCAUUUGUCUUUACAAACAACGAGUAAUCCGAAUGUGAUUGAAUAAAGCCAGCUUUCUUGACAGCAUGAGAAAAUUUCGCAAACCAAUUGCGAGGAGCUUGUUUAAGCCCAUAAAGGGACUUAUGAAGUUGACAAACAAGCUUCUCCCCCUGUUGACAAAGUCCCGGCGGUGGAGUCAUAUAUACUUAUUCUUCUAAAUCACCAUGCAAAAAAACAUUGGUCACAUCCAUUUGAUACAAUGGCCAAUGUCUUGCAGCAACCACAACAAGUAAACAACGAACAGUGGUCAAUUUAGCCACAGGAGCAAAUGUCUCAGUGUAAUCCAGGCCUUCUUAUUGAGAAAAUCCUUUGGCGACUAAUCGAGCUUUGUAACGUUCAAUCGUACCAUUAGAAUUGUAUUUGAUACGAUAAACCCAUUUGCUGCCAAUGGGUUGAUGACCAGCAGGUAAAGGGACCAAGGACCAUGUCUUCUAUGAAUUGAGAGCAUCAAGUUCACGUUGCAUAGCCUCUUUCCAUUUCGGAUCCAAUACAGCCUGAGCAUAAGAGGUUGGUUCUAGGACACUUGAAAUGGUGUUAACAAAGUGUUUAUGAGUAGAAGACAAAGAUAAUGUAUUUGCUUAAAGGAUAUUGAGUACCUGACUUAGUUGAAAAUCACUGACUUGAAGCUGUAGUUGAUGGUGUUGUACUAAUCUGUCCACAAUGAAAGUCACGAAGGAGAACAGAUUGUUGCCUUACAUGGUCACUUUUUACAAAUAUGAGGGGCAGGAUAAGAUAUAGAGGAAGAAGGGGAAGAAGUUGAUGACAAUAAAGGAUUAAGAGAGGGAAUAAUAGUCUCUGAUGCUGGAGGGACAGGAUGAGUUACAGAAGGAGAUAGAUCAUCGAUGUAAUCUAAUAUCUCAGGCUGAGGAAAAGGGCUAUCUAAUGAUUUUUUGAUACGAAGAAAAGGAAAAAUAGACUCAUGAAAAAUGACAUCACGACUGGAAAAGAAUUGGUGAGUAUGGAGAUCAUAUAAUCGAUAGGCUUUUUGGCCUAUAGAGUAACCAACAAAUAUGCAUUGUCGAGCCCGAGAAUCAAACUUAUUAGACGACUGUAGAUUUGUUGCAUAAUAGAGACAUCCAAAAACUCGUAAGUGAGUGUAGUUAGGUGGCUUAUUAUACAACAACUUAUAUGGAGAUUUAUAUUGCAACAAGGGAGUGGGAAGACGAUUUAUAACAUAGGCUGCAGUAAGUAAACUCUCCCCCCAAAAUUUUAAAGGAAGAUUGGCAUCAAUUCUCAAAGCCCGACUAACGUUUAAGAGAUGACGAUGUUUUCGUUCAACGCACCAUUUUGUUGAGGUGUAGAUAGACAGGAGCUUUGAAAUAAAAUACCAAGGGUUGAUAAAUAAGGUUUCAUGGAAAGAAAUUCUGAGCCAUUAUCACUUCUAAGAUAUUUAACUUGACAAUUAAAUUGAGUGUUCACAAAAGAAAUAAAUGUUUUUAUUAAUCCUUGGGUUUCAGAUUUAAAUUUCAUUAAAAAAAUCCAAGUGAAACGAGUGUAAUCAUCAACUAUAGUCAGGAAAUAAUGUGCCCCUAUAUGAGUUGCAGUACGAAAAGGUCCCCAAAUAUCACAAUAAAUAAGAUCAAAUGAAUGCAAAGUUUGAAUAGAACUUGAAGAAAAUGGUAAACGAGUUUGCUUUGCCAAAGGGCAAGUUUCACAGGAAUGUUGAGAAUCAAAUACGAAUGCAGGAAUAAUAUUGCUUAAAAAUUGUGAAGGUGCUUUUGAGGGAUGUCCUAACCGCUUGUGCCAAGUAAUAUGUGUAGUAGAAUCAGCAUGAUGGGUGAUUGAAAAAGAAGUUAGUGUAGACUUCACUUGAGGAACAAAGUAGUACAAGCCAUUAAGCUGCUUCCCCAAGCCAAUCAUCUUCUUCGAAGCUAGGUCCUGCAAUAUACAGAAAGUGGGAAAAAAAUGGAUUGAACAAUUCAUGGCAGCAGUAAGUUGACUCACUAAAAGUAAAUUAACAUGAAAUGAUGGUGCACAUAAUACAUUAUUAACAUGUAGAUGGUUUGAGAGUUGUGUUGAGCCAAUUUCAGUUAUCUUAGAAUAGGCACCAUUAGGCAAGGUUACUUGAGAUGACAUAUGAGUUUUAAUAGGUAUUGAAGUUGCUAUGUGAUUUGUUGCACCACUAUCAAUAAUCUAGUUAUUCAAGUCUGUCUUUUGCGUAUUGAAAAAUGAACAGAAAGGUAUAAGGAUACCUGUGUAGUUUGCUCGAGCAGGAUUGUUACCAUUUCUAAAGAAAGCUUUUAUUUGGGCAAGCUGGGAAAAAUCACCUUGAGAGAAACGUUCUUGAAGGUCAGUCCAAAUCUUUGAGGGCGUCUCUAAAUAGAGUACACUAUUUGCAAGCUCCUGAUUUAGAGAGUUAAGGAUCCAGGAAAGCACCAUAUCGUUGCAGCGCUGCCAUAAAGAAUGUUUUGGAUCAUCUUCAUCUGGUGUGUGAAUGGUUCCUUUGAUGAAUCCCAGUUUGUUUUUUGUAUUAAGACUCACUAGCAUAGAUCUCUUCCAAAUAGCAUAAUUUGUUCCAUCUAAGACUUUUGGAACAAGAAUCAUGCCAGGAUGAUCAGAAGCAUGAAGAAAAAUAGGGUCUGAGGAAUCAACCGUAGACAUAGACAUAGUGUGAUGAGAGGUUUGAGAAGAUAUAUGAUUUGGUGGAUGAUUGUGACUGCUAUCACUAUCAAUAUCAAUAUCAUCCAUAAAAAAAAAGAAGCGAAAGUGUUUUACCGAAUCAAAACCAUUGCUCUGAUACCAUGAAAAAAUGACAUUUGAAAAGAACACUGAUUUUAUUCUUCUAUAUGUAUUGCAGUAGAAUUACAGAGAAUUUAUAUAUGAGUUUACAAGAGCAAAUAUUCACAAAACAAAGGAAAGUAAAUAACGAUCCUAUAUUCAAAGGGAUUACAAAUCAGCCAUAUAUAAGGAAACAAUCUCUCUCAAUUAGUCAAGUAAAGCCAAUGAAAUCUUAACACAAUAUGUUGUUGUGGAUUUAUUUUGUUUUUUAAUUAUGAUUGAGAGAAGUCACUUCAAUUUUUUGGAUACGAUAUAAACAGUAGCCAAAUAAUAAAAUAUAUUGUGGUUAAAAAUAAUGUGAGACUACAUUACAUAGAUUUUGUAAUGAAGGGUUCUGUCAUAAAAUGUUAAUUUUAAUGACUAAAUGUAGUUGUUGCAAAGGUCAUUUAUUUUUUUUUUUAUACAAUUAACUGGUCAUGAAAUAACAAAAUAAAUUGUCCUUAAAACAAAUUUUUUAUUUGGGAUGAUUAUGUAAUGUUGUGAUAAAUAAACUUCAACAGUAGAAAAAAGCGUUGCUAAUUAUAUUUUCGAACCUCUAAAAUGACGAUUUUUAGUAAUUAUUGCGACUAUAUUUUACAUAAUCUUGAGAUAAAUAUUAUAGUCACUAUAAAUCAUUUAUCAUGACAAAUGUCAAAUAUCGUUGAUUGCAUUUUUGAAUCUCUAAUUUGGUCAUUUUGAAUACCAUUUGUGAUGAUUUUAACUUAAUUUUAAGACAAUGAUUUUUAUCACAAAAAAUAUAUUUUUAACAUGACCAAAAUAAUUUUGGUCGUUAAAAUAUUUUAAGAUGGUCUUUUCACGACUAACAUGUGACAAUUUAUUUUUUGUCGUAAAACAUAUAAAGUGACUAACUUAUUAUCUUUGGUUACUAAAUUUUUUGUAAUAAAAUAUUAUUUUUCUUGUAAUGGGAAUUAAAGCAAUAGUUUAGAUCAAAAUAGGUAGGAUAUUUAUUUGGCGUUUUUAGAUUACCACCUAACAAUGAAGGGCAAGCAAUGGAUGAAAAAGUGAGGAGACUAAUAAUAGUUAUUAAUCAUAGAACUCAAUCAAUGCUAACAUAAUUCUAUGACCAAAAUGAUGGCAAUAAUGCUACUUUGAAUAUAGUCCAUAAUAUAGUUUCCAAUACAUAACAAUGAAUAUAGUUCAUAAUACAUGACAGUCCAGUUGGUUAGCAUGACAAUAAGCAAAUGUUGGGUUGUUGAUCAAAUAAAGAGUGAUUAAAUAUGAAUGUCAUAUUCAUGGAAAAAGAAAAGGAAAAUAUGAAUGAGAUAUUUAGUUGAAUAUGUUCAAAUAUGUAAAGAUCUUAUCAAAUGUCAAGAUCCUAGCAUUAUUGAUUAUUUCAUGUGCAUAUUUAAUCACUCUUCAUUUCAUUGUAGUGAAUAAAUUAAAAAUUGAUUUCAUUGUCAUUCUAUUUGAUAAUUUCAAGUAAUUUUGUUCAUCCUAUCUUUUAAAAAAGAAAAGAAACUUGACAACGGAAAGUUUGGUGAACACAUUUAUACCUGUUGAACAGUGCAUACAACCAGGCACCACCGCCGCAGCUAAAGGUCCAUGAGUUAAAAUUUUGUUUUUACUUGCGUAGCCUCUAGGGUUGGUGUAAAUAAAAGUCUUAAAUGAAACAUUAUAUUAAUAUUUAAUUGUGUAACCACUCUGACAAGUACAAGGCUACAAUUUCAUUAGGAAAUCCAAUAUAAUUUUUAAUGGAUCACUCUCUUGGAUGGCAAUUUUACCUGCCAACCCAAAAAAUCUCAUUUAUUAAAAUUAUAACUAACAAUUAGUAAAACGAGAAAAAGUAGUGUUGAUACACAUUGAUAAUAGUCACAUAUUAUAUAUGAUUUUGAUAUGAAUUGAAUCAAUAUAUCAAAAUCAUAGAUAUUGAAUUGGCGUUUGUAGAUUACCACCUAACAAUGAGGGGGAAGCAAUGGGUGAAAAGGUGAGGAGACUAAAACGAUAGUUAUUAAUCAUAGAACUCAAUCGAUAAUAACAUAAUUCUAUGACCAAAAUGAUGGCAAUAAUGCUACUUUGCCCUAAUACAGACCAGUAUGACCAAAAUGUUGAAGAAGACCCAUAUUAAUGCAGGUUUUAAUUGCAAGCCAUUAUAUAGCUUUGGCACAUUUUCAGUUUUCACGUUAUUGUUAUCUAUUAUCAUAAAGAAUAAUGAUACUCGUAGGAAAAAAAGCACAAAAAUACAAAAGACAAUAUUUAUUUAUUUACAAGUCAAAUAUAUAUUGUCUAACACUGAAUUUUUUUUUCUAAUGCAGUGCUAUUUUUUGUGCACAUAUCAUUAUUCUAUUGCUAAUGAAAUGCAGGAUGUGGAAUCAAAUUAGUUAUAUUCGGUUAUACAAGCUGAGGUGGAAAGCUGAGUCAGCAAGGGUGGGUCCCCAGGUGGUUUAAUUAGUUGUUAUAACCAGCUGUACUAACUGAUAGUUAUAAGAAGAAGCUUCAGAAAAAGAGCUGAUUAGCGUGAGGUUAUCGAGAACAUUAGUGUGAGUUUGUUGAGAGAAGAAACUCUCUGUGUGAGUGUUAUCAAGUUCUUGCUCUCUGUGAGACUCCAUUGUAACAUUUUUAGUUCAUCUUCUAAUAAAACUCUAGCUCUGUUGUUCCUGAUCGUGGAUGUAGGUACCUUGGUACCGAGCCACGUUACCUUUGUCUUGAGUCUUUAAAGUUCUUUAUCUUGCUCUGUUGUAACUGGUGGUGGUCUUAGGUUCUCCUGGGUUUUUGCUUUGGUUGUGUUUAGUUAUUGCAUCAGUAGAGUUGCUAGGUUGAUCAAAAGGUCCAACAAACUGGUAUCAGAGCUUGGUCCAUCUAUCUUGCUCUGAGAAAUUCUCAAAAAUGGGAUCUACAAGAUUCGAUCUUAAAAAGUUUAAUGGAGAAAAUGACUUCUAUUUGUAGAGUCUUAAAAUGAGGGCAAUCAUCAUUCAACAAGGGUUGAAUACUGCACUCGAAGAAGAUGAAGAUUCAAAAGUCCAGAAAGGGAAGGAAGAAUGAUCAUCUAGUACUGGUGCAGAUAAAAGAAUCAUAAUUAUAUUUGGUCCAAAAUCCAAUGCAUAUCCAAUAUUCACUUGUCUAUGCAUAUCCAACAUUUUCUUGUGCACAUGCAUGUCAAAAUGUUGCCAUUCUGAUAGUAAGUUGAAUGAUAAGGUCUUAAUUCAAGUUGUUCUGUACACUAGCAUCUUAAUUGCACUUUCUCUGUCACAGAGUAUUUGAAUAUGUUUGAAGCAAGUUCAGCCCCCAAAUGAAUCAAUAGUUGAAAAACAGAAACUAUUUUCAGAACCAAUCAGGAUUAUUGAGAAAUACUGCUGUACCGUACAUCCGCCUUGGCCGUACAGCAGUAAAGGAUGUAAAGAAUGCCUUGGAAUCGAAGGACUUAAAGAGAAGAACAUAUGGAAAGGAUCUAAACCCUGCUAAAAGCUUAGUUGCCAGAGCUAAACCUGAUAAGAAAUUCAACAAAGAUAAGAAGAACAACAACCAGAAAGACAAAGGAGACAAGAAAAAAAAGAAAAGAAAGUGUUAUUUUUGGGACAAAGAAGGACAUUACAUCAAAGACUUUUUUGAGAAGAAGAGGCUGGAAAAAUUACAGAAAGAAACAAAUGGGAAGGCUGCUGUAGCCUCAGAAGAUGAAGGAAUAUCAUAUUAUGCAGAUGUUCUCAUUGCUGCAGAAAAGCAACCUUCAGGUGAGUGGAUACUCGACUCAGGUUGCUCCUUCCAUAUGUGUCCAAAUAUAGAUUUCUUUAAGACAUUUGAAUAAGUUGAUGGUGGGAAGGUCUUGCUUGGUAACAAUCUUGCCUGUAAAGUAGCUGGAAUUGGAACCAUUAAUAUUAGGAUGUUUGAUGAGAUUGAAAGAGAUCUAAAACAGGUCAGAUAUGUCCCAGAAUUAAAAAGGAAUCUAAUAUCCUUAGGAGUAAUAGAUCAGGUAGGCUGUAGUAUAAAAUCAGAAAAUGGUAACCUUCAGAUUGAAGAAAAUGGUCUGGUCAUAAUGAAGGGCAUAAGAAGAAAUGGUUUAUAUGUACUCACUGGCUCAACAGCUAAACUAGCAAUCACAGCUAGUGUAAGCAGUGAUAGAACCAAACUAUGGCACAUGAGGUUAACACACAUGGGUGAGAAUGGAAUGAAAGAACUGAGCAAGCAAGGGCUGCUGGGAAAUGAUAUGAUCACCUCUUUACAGUUUUGUGAAAAAUGUGUGUUUGGGAAAGUAACAAGGCAUAGGUUCAACCCUGGAAAAAAGGAAACUAAACAAACUUUAGACUAUGUUCAUUCAGACCUUUGAGGUCCAUCACAAGUCCCUUCUCAUGGUGGAGCCAGAUACUUCAUAACCUUCAUAGAUGACUACUCCAAAAGAGUGUGGGUCUAUAUGCUGAAACAUAAGAAUAAAGCCUUUGAAAGAUUUAAAUAGUGGACUGCACUCAUGGAAAAUCAAACAGAAAAAGGGCUUAAGAGACUAAGAACAGACAAUGGUUUAGAAUAUUAUAACAAAGACUUUGAAAAUUUCUGUAAGUCAAAGGGCAUUGCUAGGCACAGGACAGUUAGAAACACUCCCCAACAAAAUGGGUUGGCUGAAAGAAUGAAUAGGACCUUAAUUGAAAAGGUCAGAUGCAUGUUGUUAACUGCUAAUCUGUCUAAACACUUCUGGGCUGAGGUUGUAAAUACAGCUGUAUAUCUGAUAAACAGGAGCCCAUCAUCAACCUUGGACUUCAAAACACCUCAAGAAGUAUGGUCAGGGAAGCCACCAAAUCUUAGUAAUCUCAGGGUAUUUGGCUGCCCAGCUUAUGCACAUAUAAGUCAGGGCAAGCUAGAACCAAGGGUUGUGAAAGGAUACUUCAUAGGGUAUCCAGAAGGCAUAAAGGGAUACAAGAUUUGGUGCUUAAAUGGCAAACCAUCAAGAACUCUGAUCAGCAGAGAUGUAGUGUUUGAUGAAGAGGCUAUGUUGCAGCAAAAGGUUGGAACAGAAAUUAAAGUUUCUAAACCUUUAAAUAAAUCUGAGUUGAAGGUGGAGUCCAAAGACAUUUUGAAAGAAAGUGAAAAGAUUACAGAGUCUCAUCAUGGAGUUAACAAAGCCUCAGAACUUGAUAACUACCAGCUUGCAAGAGAUAAAGAAAGAAUGGUAGUUAAAAUGCCCAAAAGAUAUGGGAUAGCAGACCUGAUAUCUUUUGCACUGAUGGUUGUUGAUGAGAUGACUGAAGAAGAACCUGAAAAUUUCAAACAGGCUAUGACUAGCAGAGACAAGGGGAAAUGGCUGAGUGCUGUGGAAGAUGAAAUGAUAUCACUCAAGAAAAACAAUACUUGGGUUCUGGUUCAGAGACCUGCUGAAAAAAGGUUAGUGGGAUGCAAAUGGAUCUUCAAGCUCAAGGAUGGAGUUUCUAGAGAUGAAUCAGUGAGCUACAAGGCUAGACUUGUGGCAAAGGGCUUCACACAAAAUGAAGGGAUAGACUUCAAUGAAGUCUUCUCACCUGUAGUUAAACACUCCUCUAUAAGGGUCAUAUUAGCCAUCACAGCUUUCUUUGAUUUAGAACUGGACCAGAUGGAUGUGAAGACUGCCUUCUUACAUGGAAACUUAAAAGAAGAAAUUCUAAUGGCACAACCAGAGGGCUUCGUUGAAGAAAGAACUGAAGACAUGGUUUGCUUACUUAAGAAAAGUUUAUAUGGGUUGAAGCAAUCUCCUCGGCAAUGGUACUUAAGAUUUGAUGAGUUUAUGUUAAGUCAUAACUUCAACAGAAGUGAAUAUGACAACUGUGUGUACUUUAGAAAACUGAACUCAGGAGAUCAAAUCAGUCUACUUCUCUAUGUUGAUAACAUGCUCAUAGCAUAUAAACAUAAAGAAGAAAUUAAUAAGCUCAAGGCUGAGUUAAUGGCAGUAUUCGAAAUGAAAGAUUUGGGUCUUGCUGCUAAGAUACUAGGAAUGCAAAUAAAGAGGGCAGACAUGCCAAGACUUUAUUUCUCACUCAAACAGGAUAUCUAAAAAGGGUUGUCAAUAGAUUUGGGAUAGUGAACUCAAAACAUGUCACUACUCCAGUAGCAACACACUUCAAACUCUCCAAGCAACAUGCUCCACAAGAAGAAGCAGACAUUGAUCACAUGAGGAGAAUUCCAUACUCUAGUGCAGUUGGUAGCAUUAUGUAUGCUAUGGUCUGCACUAGAUCAAAUGUUGUAUAUGGGAUUGGCCUUGUUAGCAUGUUCAUGGGGAAUCCAGGCAAAGAGCAUUGGGAGGCUAUUAAAUGGCUACUAAGGUAUCUUAGAGGUACAGAAGGACAUGGAGUGAUGUUUGGACAGGUCAGCAAUGCCUCAAGCAAGGUUUUGGGGUAUGUUGAUUCUGAUUUUGCUGGAGAUUUAGACAAGAGAAGAUCUGUCACUGGUCUUGUAUUUACCCUCUGUGGUGGAGCUGUGAGCUGGAAGUCAACACUACAAUCAGUAGUUGCCCUUUCAACAACAGAGGCAGAGUAUAUUGCUUUAACAGAGGCUGUGAAAGAAGCAUUAUGGUUGAAGGGGUUAGUCACAGAACUGGGUUUGGAACAAGAAUCAGUCACUGUCAAUUGUGAUAGCUCAAGUGCAAUACAGUUGAGCAAAAACCCCAAAUAUCAUGAAAGAACUAAGCAUGCGGAUGUGAGGAUGCACUUUAUUAGGGAUAAAAUUCGAAGUGGUGUGAUUAAUGUCAUUAAAAUUCCUACUGAAGUAAAUCCAGCAGACAUGUUAACGAAGCCUUUACCAACAGUUAAGUUCAGGAACUCCUUGGACUUGAUUGGGGUUAUUAACUUGUAAGUCAAGUUAACUAAUAUUCUGGAGCAGUAAUGAGUAGAGUUAUAACCGAGUAAACUAAGGUGGAGAUUUGUGGAAUCAAAUUAGUUAUAUUCGGUUAUACAAGCUGAUGUGGAAAGCUGAGUCAGCAAGGGUGGGUCCCCAAGUGGUUUAAUUAGUUGUUAUAACCAGCUGUACUAACUGAUAGCUAUAAGAAGAAGCUUCAGAAAGAGAGCUAAUUAGCGUGAGGUUAUCGAGAACAUUAGUGUGAGUUUGUUGAGAGAAUAAACUCUCUGUGUGAGUGUUAUCAAGUUCUUACUCUCUGUGAGACUCCAUUGUAACCUUCUUAGUUCAUCUUCUAAUAAAACUCUAGUUCUGUUGUUCCUGAUCGUGGAUGUAGGUACCUUGAUAUCGAACCACGUUACCUUUGUCUUCAGUCUUUAAAGUUCUUUAUCUUGCUCUGUUGUAUCUGGUGGUGGUCUUAGGUUCUCCUGGGUUUUUGCUUUGGUUGUGUUUAGUUAUUGCAUCAGUAGAGUUGCUAGGUUGAUCAGAAGGUCCAACACAGGACAUUUGAGUCCUUUCAAUAAUUCAUGUAUUUUUUAUUCUGCUUUGCUUCGUGCAAGGUAGCAUAAUUGUUGGUUUCUACUAAUUCUAUUGAGUGAUGAAUGAUGAUACAAUCACCGCAUGGGCGGAGAGCCCGAGGUUAGGCCUAAAAAGUCAAAAAAAGAAAAAAAAAAGUUUAACAUAGAAUGAUACUAUUUGUAUAUAAAAUUACACGUGACCACUAAAAAUAAGACAUAUUUCACUAAAAAAUAAAUUCAUUUACAUAGAAAUAUAAAAUAUUCUCUCAAAUUUUCAUUCUAAAUAAUGUGUCAUAUGAUGUUCAUUCAUUAAAUUGUUAAUUAUUUUUCAUAAAUUUUAAGCGAAUUAAUUGUAUUAUCUCAUCAAACAAUGAAUGAAUGUCAAAUUAAUUGAGGUAAAAUUUUGUGAUGUAUAGCACUACUCUAUUUAAUUUUAUCCAUAUGUACAAGUUAACAGAGCUUGAGUUUUUAGGGUAAUGGCUCACAUUUCUCAUUCAUUAGUAUAAUCAGAGACUAACAAAAUAUUGUUACAGAUCUUGAGAACUAGUGUUGUGAUUUUUAUAGUUGAGAAAAGAUAGAAAAAUACAAAAUUAAAAAAUAUUUGAAUAAAUAAUAGUUACAGCUAAGGAUAAUAAUUUGCUGUUAUGCUCCCUAAAGACGGAGCUUGGGAGAGAAGUCCAAUCUUGACCUUGAGAGUGAGAAAACGGGCUCAUGGAAGAGGCUUGGUGAGAGCUUCAGCUAUCUGAUAUGCAGAAGACACAUGAGUAACAUGAAGAGCACCACGUUGGACUCUAUCUCUUAUGAAAUGAAAGUCAAUAGCAACAUGCUUCAUUCUUGAACGAAAAAAUGGGACUAUAACAGAGUUGAUUGGCCCCAGUAUUAUCACUCAGUAUAUAUCAUUGUACAACAGAAAAUGCUAACACCAAGAUCAAAUAAGAGAUAGCAAACCCAAUUUAGAUCCAUCAAUAAAACCAAAUAGAUCAUAGCCAAUGAAUAAGAUAUUAAAUUGCAACUUUCAUGAGAUGUAGUUACUGGAUGUGAGUUUAAGAGGAGUUUGAGCUAACAUAAGGGGUUCGGGCUGAUCAAACAUCAUUUUCCAAUUCUAUUACUCGACUCGUGACAUGACAGUGCUGAGCUAGCAACUUACUAGAGCUAACAGUGAUUUAGUUACACGCUGAAUAGACUUGAAACAGGGGUUUAAAAGCUGGUGACCAGUGCACAUUUCUAAGCAAUUUUCUUGUUAUUGAGUGAGAUUAAAGAAGAUUGCAAACCGGGCAUUUGUUCUCUGAGGAGUGUAUAAUGUAAUCUUUAGUUGACAUUCCUUGAUGAAACAUGCUUAUUGUCACGGGAUAAAUAUUUUGCGCAGCAACUCAUGUGGUACUUAAAUAACUUUUAGAACAAAAAUUGUUAAGUAAGCUUAGAGAAUUUCUCAAGCUAGCCAAACAAGGAUACUUGAGAGAAAGCUAGAGAGAGGAGAGAAAUAUGGCCAAAGUAAAUUUUAUUACUCGAAAGAGAGAAUAUAAGAGAGCUUUACAAUAAUGCUUGAGUUGUUUGCUUAGUGUGUUGUGUGUGGUGUGGUGUUUAGUGUUGUGGUGUUAAGAAAAAUGGUUGACGUCAUGCCUUAUUUAUAGAGUGACUCACCUAGGUCUAGAUGGUUCCAUGCAAGUUUUUGUAAGUUGCCUAAAAAUCUAUUAGAUUCUAGAAUACGUAAGUAUAUAAUUAUUUAGACAAUAUAAGUUGCAGAGAUUUAUAAAGAGUUCUAGAAUCAGGCUGGACUCACUCACUUUAGUUUGUGAAUUUACGAGUACACCACGGGUCGCUAAUUAUAUGAGGUAGCUCACUGUUGACCAUACUCUACUGCUAAGCGCAUCCUAUCUUUGAGCGGACUUUUAUUGAGGAAACCCUUGUGCGUCAAUUUAGUCUCCGUGACAAACUUGAGUAGGCCGUGAGCGUGACAUUACGUUGUUUUCUCUCUUGGAUGUAGGCAACCUUACCAAGCCACGUAUAUUGUCCUCAGUGUUCUUGAUUUUACUUUGCGUUGUUAAUUUAUCAUGAGGACAAGACUAAAUAACAAAAGUUUUAAGCACAAAAAAAUGGGAGCCUGUAAGUUACAAUAAUUGUAACAUACAUCUUUCAUGUGAACCACACAAAAUUAUAGGACCCACAGUUUGUGUGGUUCACAUGAGGAAUGUAUGUUACAAUUAUUGUAACUUAGCAUUUGCCCAAAAAAAUAGAAGAAAGGGAAGAUACGCAACCUUGUGCAGAGCAGGCCAGCACAUCUCUUCUUGUUCUGGCUUUCUGAGGUGGAUGGCCCCACUACAAUAAUUUUUAAUAUUUUAAAGAAAAAGGAGCCCAACAAUUUUUACAAAAACCCCCCAAUGGUCCACCGUCUAACUUUAACAUAAAGAUUUAUUUUUAUCAACAAAAAAAAGAUAAAGAUUUAUUAAAAAAAAAUUGUAAGAGUGAAGUAACUGUUCUGAGUUUUAUUGUGGAUUUCAUCUAACCCAAUUUUAUGAAUUGUUUGAAUUCCAUAAACUUCCGCUAGUGGUUCAUAUAUAUGGCGGAGGCUUUUGCAUCUAUUCUGCCUUUCAUCCUACUUACCAUAAAGUUAUUGCAGUCUUCUUUGACCAUCGACGAGCUCCUGAGAAUCAUGUCCUUUGUGCUCGUGAAGAUUCAUGGGCUGCACUCAAAUGGGUUGCUUCCCAUACUAAUGGACAAGGUCUUAUGGAUUGGCUUAACCAUUAUGCUAGUUAAAUGAAGUGAUUUAGGAAUCACAAGUCAAAAGAGAGGCAAAUUAAUUCCAUAUAAAUAUGGCCAAAUUUUUAAUUUUGAAAAAAAAAAAAGUAAAGUCCGGAUUUUUGAGACUUUAAAUGCGUUUGAGUAAACAAUUGGAAGAACCAAACCUCUAAAUUGAUUUAAAAAUUUUUGAACCCACUGCCCAAAUCUAAAUUCUUAGAUCCGCCACUUCUUAAUGAAGCUAGCUUAGGCUUUUUUUCUCUUCUUAUAUAAGCAACCUUAUCAAGCCGCAUAAAUUGUUCGUGCAGAUUGUUCUCGAUUUGAUAUAAUUUGCUUGUCUCUUUAAUCUUUCAUUGAUUUUGCCCAUCUCUUUGAUCUUUCAUUCGUUAGUCUUGUUCUUAAUUAACGUUAAAAGUCCUUAUAACGAAACAAUGUCCGUAUUGGAGAAGACAGCAUUUGGGGAAUCCAUUGAUGCUGAAACUUUAUCGGUGCCAAAGAACCCUUCCCCAUGCCCAUCUGUAUGCACGAAAACAUGGAAGAAACUCAUGUGCAAGUGCUCUUGAUUUUGAAUCCAUUGUUGCAAUAUGAUUAGAGUCAUAAUAUAGUUAUAAAUUCUUGUAUAAAUUUAUUUUAUACAAAUUGACGUAACAUUAAUUCAUUAGUUAAAUGAAAAUAUAAAAUAAUAAAAAUAAAUCAUAUGGGGCAAGUGAUAUUUAAUUCAAUUAAUUUUAUCAUAGUAUAUCAAUUUGUAUAAAAUAAAUUUGUAUAAAACUUUCUGACUAUUAUAUAAAGAGUAGCAGUACAAAGACAUUAUGAAAAAUUGCUUAAAAAAAAAUAUUUUGACAGUUUUAUUUCUUUGGUUGGUGAUUUCGUGCUUUCUGGGACAGAAAAAGGGCCAAGUUUGGUCGUGUUUGUCAUAAAACUUCUUUGCUUUUAUCGGAAAAAUUGUAAAAUGAAACAAAGCCACGCAAAACCGGCUGUACAAUAGUAUCACGGUUCCCAAUGGACAUCCACGCGGUCCAUCAUAUGACUUCACAUCCCGCUUUUUCUUUAAAAAAGUUCCUAGCUAGAAGGAAAAAAAAAAUAAUUAUAAAAUAAAAAAUAAUAAUAUAUAAUAAAUAUAAUUUUUAAAUAAUAAUUUUAAUAAAAUUAGUAAUGAUAUAAUAAUUUUUGAUUAUUCAAAUAUAAAAUUAAAUUACCUUAACUUUCAAGUUAUAAUAAAUAGUAUUUACCAAAUACUUAAUAUUAUACAUUUUAACUUACAACUAUCCAACCUUAAUUUUAAAUAAGACAUUACUCUCAAAAACCAAUUCUUAAAAUAUGAGUGUCUAUGAAUUUCACUUAUACUAUCAUCUACUAUUUAAAUUGUUAUAUUUAGCUCAUGCGGGGUAGGACUUAGGAUCCCUAUCUAUUUAAGAAAGAUUUGACAUAAAUAUAUAUAAUGUUUAUAAAUCAUAAUGUCGAUUUUAAAAUCAUGGCAAUUUAAUUUCUAAAAUAGUGCAAUUAACUAUCCAUUGAAGCAAACUUUGCCACCUUAAAUUUUUUAUUGCAAAAAUCUGUAAGAAAUCGAAUUGAAUUGAAUUACAAAAUUGGGAUGAUGAUAGCGGCUAGAACAUGAAAGCCAAGCAUCUCCCGUUUUUGCUAAGGAAAUUCAUUCGGUAAUUGGCUAUGUGUCCAGUUGUGAGUUUCGUGACACUUUUCCAUCAGACUUUUAAUGGAUAAAAGAAAAAAACUUUUGACAAUAAUAGUGGGCUUUACGUUAAUUAAUAGAAGAAUAUGAGUAUUUAAGGGUCUGUUCGGUAACGUGUUAUGGGCUCUAUUUUCAUUUUCCUUUUAUGAAUCUAAGUUAAUACAUGUUUGAUGGUUGAAAUUUUAAAAAAAAUUGUAAAACAAAAAAGCUGAGAUUCACUUUUAUAACUAUUAAAGUGAGAACAUGUCACGUAUUACAAAACUAAACUAAAAAUAAAUUAAAAAAUAAAAUCUAAAAGUCUCGGCCUUCUCUCUUUAUCCUUAUUUCUUUGUCCAAUAGUGCUGACUCUCGCUCCUUAUCCCUCUCGAUUUACUAACAGUGGCGAUUAUUCUCUCUCGGUGUGCCCAAAUCAGCUGUUGUACUCCAUCUUUGUUGCCGCUGCUAAUUCCCCUCAACCAUUGUUGUUCCUCCGUCUCCGCCGCUGCUGCUCCAUCUCGACUAUCUCGUUUGUUGUUGCUCCUCUCUCGACUCCAUCUCUGCUAUUGUGAGUUAUUGGUAUUUAUUUAGGGUACUUAUCCACCAUCCACUUUUUUUUUUCAUACUUUUUCAAAAAUACACAAAUCUUAAUUUUUUUUGCUGAGCUCCACUUGAAGUUUUAUUUUUUUAUAUAUGUCCGCUGCCAUCUUCAAACCGUUAAGAAAACUAACGGAAUAUUGUCCAAAUUAAGUUUUUGAAGCAUAGGUGAAAUUAUUAUAAUACCCUUAUGAUGUCAGAAAAUUCUUAACGGUUUAAAGACAACAGUGGACAUAUGCAAAAAAUUAUAACUUCAAGUGGAGCUUAGUAAAAAAAAAUUAAGAAUUGUAUAUUUUUAAAAAAGUGUGAAAAAAUAGGUGGACGGUGGAUAAUUACCCUUUUUUGUAUUUGAGUAAAUUUUUACUAUUAUUAUCAUACUAUUUUGUUUUGUGAUCAUGAUCAUGAAAUAAAAAUUGUGGAUAAUAAAGUCCGAGCCUGACCCGACAAUAUAAAUAAAGGACCCGAACCCGAUAAAAAACUUGAAUUUUCACUUUCGGAGACCAACCAUAAUAUUUUUUUAAUAUUUAAAUAUUUUAAAUUUACCUCCCCUAAUAUAUUCAAAUUAAAUAUAAAAAUUACUCCAAUCAAUAUCUCAACUAUAAAAUCAUAUAAAUAACUAAACAUAAAAAAAAAAUCAUGUCUAAUUCAAAUAAAGUCACACAAUUCAAAUUAAAACACACUUUUUUUUUACUAUUAAGUAAUCGGGUCGAGUCGGGUUGGGUCGGCUAAUUAUUGAGUAAUCGGGUAGAGUCGAGUCAGAGUUCAGGCUUUUGAUCGGGCUUUUAUUUUUAAGCCUAAGCUCGAAUUUUGACCCUUAACUUCGGGUCAAAACCCAAAAAAAUCGAGCUGGAUCAAUUGGACCAAAAUUCAAGUCGGGGUUUUUGGCCAUCUCUAAGGUGAUUGUAUUGCUAGCCAAGAUUUCAUCAAUUCUAUUCUAGGAGUUGGACCAUAAAAUAGGGACCGAUUAAAUAUUUAUUUUGUAAAUAUGAUUUUGUUGUUCUUAUUUGGAAUUGGUUGUCUUUUUGUGUUGGAAAAUCAUGCAAAGGCAUAUUAUUUACCAUUUUGAGGCGGAGUUUCACAGCAAAGCAUGUGGGUGUUGUGAGUUAUUGACAGUAAUGGUUGUUCUUGUCUAAUUCCAUUGUCAUUUCAUUUAUUUAUUAGGGACCAAAAGCAUAUUAAUGCAAAAAUUGUAGAGAUUAGCGUGAACUGAUUGUAAUAAUAUCAUGUUGUAUUCAUUUAGAUGCGAUUGGUUUAGUGUACAUUACCUUGAUUUCAUUUUUCUUAAAUUUUUGUUGUGCUGUGAAAAAAUGAGUUAAAGAUAAAAACUUUUGACAAGAGCUUGGUCUUAAUUUGAAUUGAUCAAUUUGUAGUAGAAUACAUUUUAUUUUGAUAUGUUCAAAUUUUAAUCUAUGACACAUUACUAAAAUGACUUUCAUGCUAUGUUGAAUUUGAUUAACUCCAAAAGUCUGAGCUAUGUAUGUGUAGGAGCAGUUUCUUUAAUUUAAUUAAUAUUUGAUAUAUGUGAUUUUUUUAAAAUUUUUUAGUAACACGAUAUGGAUCCACAGGAUGUUGAUUGGUGAACAUAAUUAUAGUUUACGUAAGCAACGUCUAAUUCCAAUUUCAUGUUGCGUUUUACAUAAUUUUAUUCAACAAAAAAAUGUCAGUGACAGGUUGUUUGAGGACUUUGAUGUAUAAGAUAUGGUUACAAAUGAAGGAGAUAUUAGAAGGCCACUUACUACUAUUAAGUGUUGUAGAGAUGAAUGCUACAAAAGAUAAAAUUGCAUUUUAUGCGGCAUGAUUACACACGUAAUGCAUGAUGCCUAUCAUCUAAUUUUUAUAAUUAUUUUGUUUAAAUCAUAUGUGUUAUAAUAUAUAUCUUAAUUAUAGUGUAAAACAAUGAUAAUAUAAAACUUUUUUUAUUAAUGCUAAUAUUAAAAAUUUAUCAUCAUGUAAUUUUUUAUAAUUAUUUUUAUUUAAAUUAUUUAUGGUAUGUUUGGGUAUAUAUUAGUUGAAUAAUUAUUUUCUAACUACAUGUAUGACUUAAAUAUUUUAUAAAAAAUAUUUUUUAAAAUGGUACUACCGAAUACUUAUUCAUUGUUUUUAUCAUUUUCAAUUGUGUCUACCAAAUGCAUAUUACUGUUUGUAGUUUUAAAAUACAUGAUGCAGAAAAAAUUAUACUAGAUGUGUACUAAAAUUCGAAAUACAGCAACUGCAAAACACUAUCUUCAUUCUCAUUUUUGUUUUCAUAAAAUACAAAUUUGGAAACAAUACUAAUAGCCCCUAAAUAAUUUGUGCUGUGGUCAUGUUGGUCAGCCAAUAGUGAUUUUUCAUCGUGGAAAUUUUGCGGGUUUUCUAAGAUUAUGCUUUGAUGAAAAAGGAGUGUAAGAUACUGAGAUGCGUUUGAUGUCACUCCAAAACGAAAAGUAACUCAAUCUAGAUUUGGAUUAGAGGAGUCUCCAAAUCCAAGACACUAUAAAUGUGAAUGGAUGCCUUCAGAAUUAAACUGAGUGUGUUUAGGUUGAGUUCAGUUCACCUACAAUUCCAUUCGAGCUCAUUAAUAUCACUAAAAAAUGAAUAAUGAUGAAGCAGUGUUUGGAUUUGUUUGGACGUGUUCGGAUUUGGUUUUCCCAUCACUGUUGCCGUAGACAUGCUCUAUUCCAUCACCAAUGAUGUAUUCCUUCCCCGUACUUCGUCACCAUCACCGACAAUGAUAAUGUUGUGAAACUAAGUUUUGGUUUGUUAAGGUAGAGAACAAAGGGAAUAGGGAUCGUGAAAUGUAGGGGGAGUUUUAGUCCAAAAGGAUAUUGUUUGGCUAAUUAUGAUAAAUAUAAUUUUGUGGGGUUAAUUUUAAAAAAUCCGGAAUUUUUUGGGAUAUUUUUAUAAAUUUUCCUAGAUUUCUCCCUAAUAAUUGUGAGGAUAACUUUUCAAACUAUUGCUCAACAGAUUUACAUAUCGACAAAACAUUGUGAACAAAUAGAAUAUAAUGAAUUUGAAAAAUAAGCAAAUGCUUGCCUAGAACAAGGUAAAAGAACCCAACCCAAUUGGCAUCUUUAACGAUACUCCUAGUUUAUGAAGCGAGGAAUCAACCGUUACUUUUUUCCUUUUUAGGGAUAAUUGCAGAUUAUCUCCUCAUUAAUUUACUAUCUUCAAAUCUCCCAUUAUUUUUAAAAACCUUAGUUUAUCUUAUAUUUUGUUAAGAAGACCAAAAAAAAAAAAAAAUCAUCAACUCAACCUCAUUAUUCUCUUACAUUUUGAAUAAAAUAGGUUAAUUUAAGAUUGUAAACAAUAAAAUAAUAAUUUAAGGAUACUCAAUUUACAAAGAGAUAGUUUACUUUAUAUAUGUAUACUCAUUCUAUAAUGCAGGUGUCAUCCUAAUUUUUUUUUUUUCAUGCGAACACACUUUUAAACCAUAGGAUUUACUAGAGUUAAGAUCUCAACUCUUAAACUGCAUGGUUUUAUAAUUCAUUCAUAAAUAAGUUUAUAAAACCACAUGAUUUAAGAACAUAUCCGUAUUAGGGCGCCCGCAGAAUGAUUAUAUAUCUAUAUACACACACACACACACACAAAAUAUGUUCUCAAGCCAACACCAUUUUGCAUUCUUUUAUGUUUUUGUACAAUGAAAAAUUGAUUGGUGAAAAACAAUAUCAAACGCAUCCUUAAUUUCCUUCUAGAUCUCUCUCUCUUUACUAACAUUUGCAUUCUCAGAUCUAUUUGCUUUUCUCUUCUGUUUCGCUCUUGGUAUGCAAAAUGAUUCAAACUGUCAAGCCAUGUGUGGCUUUUUAUUGGGUAGUACUCUAAAGGCGCAAGAACAUGUGUUACAAAAGGACUGCUUGUAAUAUUCAAAAUUCCGUAGUUGCAGCCAAAUGUCUUUUUUGAGGCAUUUCAUCAAACAUUUAGUUACUUUCAUCAAACACCUAGUUAAACUAUAUUUCUCUUAUAAAUUAUAAUACCGGGUAUACAUAUUUUUUCAAAUUCAUAAUAAAAAUUUGUACAAAUCGAUUCGAGAUGAUUAGUUUCUGUAAUUCAAAGUAAAGAUAAGCUUUGAGAUUGGAGCGAGAGUACAAGAGGCGAAAACAACCCAUAUAAAUUCGAAUUCAAGCAUUGUCGUGGCUAAAGAAAGCAGCAGUUAUCUUGAGCAUAGACACAGCAUUUUCGCAAUAUGGAUUGCGCAAAUGGAACGCAUGCAACUCUUCUUGAGACUCAACAAUCUCCACAUCGCCUUUCCACCCACUCUCCUUCAACUUCUUACAAUAAAACCAUCCCCUAUAUCUUAGCAUAUCCUCCUCCGCAACAAAAACCAGCAUUCUGGCGCAUCCCUGCUGGCUCGCUAGGUUCGAACCAACCGCUGGAUUAAUCAAUGGAUCAUCGCAGUCAAUCAUGCUAGGAUAAACAAAUUGCCACAUUGCCUCACGCAAUUCUCUUGUUUUAACAUCAGUUGUCUCGUCAGGAAUAGGAUCCUUGCCCCAGAAGGAUGGAUGAGUUAAAACAAUCCCAAUCGUCGAGAAUUUCUUGACAAUGUCUUACUCCCAUGUGGUGAGCUAUAUUAGCGCCAGAACUGUCACCAGCGAAAAACACUCUCUGAAAGUCAGCAUAAUGGUUAAGCCAAUCUUCCGGGCCAUCCCCAUCAACAUGGGAAGCAACCCAUUUGAUUGCAGUCCGUGAAUCGUCGUGAGCACAGGGGACCGGAUUCUUCGGGGCUCUCCGAUAAUCAACCGAGACUGCUAUGAUGUUAGCUUCAGAAACUAAGUUGUUGAGGUAAUUAUUGUAAGUAGAAGAAAAGGCAGUGUGGACGCAGAAGCCUCCACCGUGAAAAUAAACCACAAGAAGAAGUUUUUGGUUUUGAUCUUUUGUGUUUUUCGGAAUGUAAAGACGAGCGGAUAGAGUAUUUUCAGGUAAAUACAAAACGUCUCUGGAAUCAACGUUUGUUUUUGGAUCAAAUGAUGGAGGAACGAUGUCAUUGCCCACAAGCCUCUCUAUUGUGCCAUCUUUGUAUAUUAUCAUCAUAGGAGAGAAAUCGUGGGCGAUUUCUGAUAAUGGCUCUGUGGAACCCAUUGAAGCAGAAAAUGUCGGCAGAGCGCCGGCAAGCCUGAAUUAGCCUUUCUAAUAAAAUAUUACUAGCAACAGCCAACAAAGAUCUUGCUCAAGUUAGGUCUCAUAUACGCGUCAAUGAUAUUACUAGGCUGCUGACAGGGCACAGAUGAGCUAGCAGCUUAGUGUGGUUACCAACUGAACAGAAUUGAAACAGUUGUUUCUGAGAAAUUUUCUUGCAACUUAGAGAGAGUUAGCCAAGAUUGUAAACAUGGGAUUUGUUCUUUGCAGAGUGCUGAGUGUAAUCUUUUAAUCGGCAUCUGUUAAUGAUGCUUGCCGUGGUUGUUUUCUCUUGCAGAUAUAAGCAAGCUUGUCAAGCCACAUAAAUUGCUCUUGUGAUGUUCUUGAUUUGAUUUUGCAUGUCCCUAUGAUCUCAUUGAUUAAUCUUUAGAUUUAGAUCCUGAAUUCUUUCUUGAUCUCUUCUUGAUUUGAUAAUCACAUUGAAUUGGAUCCAACAGUAACAAUGGCUCCUACAAUUAAACUCUAUUCAUUUUCUUUCCUUAUUGUUCUUAAGGUAAGGUACACAAUAUCACUUGUAAAUUAUACACCCAUCGAUGGAGUAUUUGAAUGUUCUUAUAUAUACAUCUAUGAAAUUUCUGAUAAAAGAAAUGAUGUCCAUAAUGUGAAACCGAAGAGAAAUAUGAUGCUGAACAACAUUAAAUUUAAGAGUACACAGAUUACUAAGUUCCUGGUGAUCACAUCAGAAAACAUUAUCUUGAUUUAGGAAUGAAGCUAAUUUAUCCAUCAAGGCCACAGCCUUUUCAGAAUCUGGAUUGAACAAAUGAAACACAUGAUCCUCUCCUUCUGUCUCCACAAUCUCAAUUUCUCCAGCCCACCCACAAUUUUUCAAAGUCUCAUAAUAAAGCAAUCCCCUAUCUCUCAAAUUAUCCUUCUCGGCAACACAAACGAGAACCCUGGGACACCUCAGGCUCAUUAGCCUAGAGUCAGCAGCUGGGUUUAUUCUCACAUCAUUGUACCCACUUGUAUUUGGACAUACAAAUACCCAACACUUAUCAACAACUUCAUCAUUUCUCCCAAAAUAUGGCUGAACCAAGCAAAUUCCUGCCAGUUUUAUCCCAUUUAAGUCUUCAAAACUCGCUUGAACGACCAUGUUGUGCACAAUAUUGCCACCAGCACUGUCACCGGCGAGAAAAACACGAGCAAAAUCAGCAUGAUCGUUUAACCAAGCUUCAUAGCCAUGACCAUUGAUAUUAAAAGGAUAAGCUACCCAUUUUAGGCUCUCUCUCUGUAGUACCUAUCCUUCUUCUAACAAUGGAGCGAGCCGCGUUGCUUCGUUCUCUCUCUUGUACUUCCCUCGCUUCCAACAGAUUCUACUUUCGCUCUUUCGUACCUCGCGCCAAAUUUUCAUCAUCAUCAGUUGCUGUUGCGAGGAGGAAUCACCACCGUCUGAUCAACAACCUCACCAGGCGCUCCCUCCUCCGCGGCGACAGCAGAUUACACCUCUCCUUAUCCUCUUACUCUCUUCCAUUCAACAAACACUUCUCCUCUCUCUCUCCUAACGCCGUCGCCUCUCCUUCCACUCCCUCAUCUCCAGGUGCAAAUUUGUCGUUUCACUCUUUCUAAAUUUCAGCUCUUUUCCCGUUAUUUAUUUAAUUAAUCUCCUACGUUUAAUUAAGCAGUAAUUUUAUUGGUUCAUUGAAUGAUUACCGGCAAAAAAAAAAACACUUAUUUUCAAUUCUUGUAAAUUUGUGUUUGUUAAUCGUUAGAAAUGAUCUAUUAUUUGGAAAAAAAAAUUGAAACUCCUCUUUUAAGUUAUUGUGAUUGGUGUGUUGAAUUGAGCUCUGUGAUUGGUUUUCUUUGUGUGUGUAGAGGUUGCUGAAGUCAGCAAUGAAGUGGCGGAGAAGCUUGGAUUCGAGAAGGUUUCGGAAGAGUUCAUUGGAGAGUGUAAAUCAAAGGCUGUGCUUUUCAAGCACAAGAAAACCGGUGCUGAGGUCAUGUCUGUAUCCAACGAUGAUGAGAACAAGGUCUUCGGCAUUGUCUUUCGAACUCCUCCGUAAGUAUUGUAAAUGUACUCUGUCUCACUGUUUGAUAUCGUCUUUUUAUUUUCUCUUUUCAUUUUAUUUGAUUAUAUUAAUUUAAAUCAGAUACAUUGUUAGAUAUUAUCAUUGAAAUGCUAAGAAUACAAGAAAAUAAUUUUCAGGCAGUUAUAGUUUUCUGGACAACGAGACACCAUUGCCUCACGCCAUUCUCUUGUUUUAACACCAGUUGUCUAGUCAGGAAUAGGAUCCUUGCCCCAUUGCCUCACGCCAUUCUCUUGUUUUAACACCAGUUGUCUAGUCAGGAAUAGGAUCCUUGCCCCAUUGCCUCACGCCAUUCUCUUGUUUUAACACCAGUUGUCUAGUCAGGAAUAGGAUCCUUGCCCCAUUGCCUCACGCCAUUCUCUUGUUUUAACACCAGUUGUCUAGUCAGGAAUAGGAUCCUUGCCCCAGAAGGAUGGAUGAGUUAAAACAAUCCCAAUCGUCGAGAAUUUCUUGACAAUGUCUUACUCCCAUGUGGUGAGCUAUAUUAGCGCCAGAACUGUCACCAGCGAAAAACACUCUCUGAAAGUCAGCAUAAUGGUUAAGCCAAUCUUCCGGGCCAUCCCCAUCAACAUGGGAAGCAACCCAUUUGAUUGCAGUCCGUGAAUCGUCGUGAGCACAGGGGACCGGAUUCUUCGGGGCUCUCCGAUAAUCAACCGAGACUGCUAUGAUGUUAGCUUCAGAAACUAAGUUGUUGAGGUAAUUAUUGUAAGUAGAAGAACAGGCAGUGUGGACGCAGAAGCCUCCACCGUGAAAAUAAACCACAAGAAGAAGUUUUUGGUUUUGAUCUUUUGUGUUUUUCGGAAUGUAAAGACGAGCGGAUAGAGUAUUUUCAGGUAAAUACAAAACGUCUCUGGAAUCAACGUUUGUUUUUGGAUCAAAUGAUGGAGGAACGAUGUCAUUGCCCACAAGCCUCUCUAUUGUGCCAUCUUUGUAUAUUAUCAUCAUAGGAGAGAAAUCGUGGGCGAUUUCUGAUAAUGGCUCUGUGGAACCCAUUGAAGCAGAAAAUGUCGGCAGAGCGCCGGCAAGCCUGAAUUAGCCUUUCUAAUAAAAUAUUACUAGCAACAGCCAACAAAGAUCUUGCUCAAGUUAGGUCUCAUAUACGCGUCAAUGAUAUUACUAGGCUGCUGACAGGGCACAGAUGAGCUAGCAGCUUAGUGUGGUUACCAACUGAACAGAAUUGAAACAGUUGUUUCUGAGAAAUUUUCUUGCAACUUAGAGAGAGUUAGCCAAGAUUGUAAACAUGGGAUUUGUUCUUUGCAGAGUGCUGAGUGUAAUCUUUUAAUCGGCAUCUGUUAAUGAUGCUUGCCGUGGUUGUUUUCUCUUGCAGAUAUAAGCAAGCUUGUCAAGCCACAUAAAUUGCUCUUGUGAUGUUCUUGAUUUGAUUUUGCAUGUCCCUAUGAUCUCAUUGAUUAAUCUUUAGAUUUAGAUCCUGAAUUCUUUCUUGAUCUCUUCUUGAUUUGAUAAUCACAUUGAAUUGGAUCCAACAGUAACAAUGGCUCCUACAAUUAAACUCUAUUCAUUUUCUUUCCUUAUUGUUCUUAUGGUAAGGUACACAAUAUCACUUGUAAAUUAUACACACAUCAAUGGGGUAUUUGAAUGUUCUUAUAUAGACAUUAAUACAUAUAUGAAAUUGCUGGUAAAAGAAAUGAUGUCCAUAAUGUGAAACCAAAGAGAAAUAUGAUGCUGAACAACAUUAAAUCAAGAGUACGCACAUUACUAAGUUCCUGGUGAUCGCAUCAGAAAACAUUAUCUUGAUUUAGGAAUGAAGCUAAUUUAUCCAUCAAGGCCACAGCCUUUUCAGAAUCUGGAUUGAACAAGUGAAACACAUGAUCCUCUCCUUCUGUCUCCACAAUCUCAAUUUCUCCAGCCCAAACCACAAUUUUUCAAAGUCUCAUAAUAAAGCAAUCCCCUAUCUCUCAAAUUAUCCUUCUCGGCAACACAAACGAGAACCCUGGGACACCUCAGGCUCAUUAGCCUAGAGUCAGCAGCUGGGUUUAUUCUCACAUCAUUGUACCCACUUGUAUUUGGACAUACAAAUACCCAACACUUAUCAACAACUUCAUCAUUUCUCCCAAAAUAUGGCUGAACCAAGCAAAUUCCUGCCAGUUUUAUCCCAUUUAAGUCUUCAAAACUCGCUUGAACGACCAUGUUGUGCACAAUAUUGCCACCAGCACUGUCACCGGCGAGAAAAACACGAGCAAAAUCAGCAUGAUCGUUUAACCAAGCUUCAUAGCCAUGACCAUUGAUAUUAAAAUGAUAAGCUACCCAAGUGAGGACAGCCCAUGAGUCUUCAUAAGCAGCAGGGACCAAGUGUUCAGGGGCUAAUCUGUAAUCAACUGAGACUACAAUAACAUUUGCUUUGGCCGAAAGAGAGCCUACAUAGUUGUGGUACGUGGAACAAAAUGGUGAGCCCAUAAAGAAGCCCCCGCCGUGAUAAUAGACGAGGAGAGGGAGCUUUUGGUUUGUUUUAAUGGCGGCUGAAGGGAUGAAGAUUCUUGCUGAUACGCCUUUCUCUGGCACAAUAACUACAUCUUUGGAGAAGACAGCAUUUGAGGAAUCCAUUGAUGCUGGAACUUUAUCGCUCCCAAAGAAUCUCUCCACAUGCCCAUCUCUGUAUGCACGAAAAUAUGGAAGAAACUCAUGUGCAAUUGCUCUUGUUUUUGAAUCCAUUAUUGCUUGUUGCAUAUUAUUAAUUCUAGUGAUGAUGAUUAAAUAACGAGAGUAACAGUAGUAAGAUAUAUUGCCAGUAAUCGUUUCUUUGGUUUGCGAGCAAGAUUAAAGUGUGGUCAUUGGUUUCUUUUUUUUCCUCCGAGACAAAAAUGGGGCUAAAGUUUGGUCGUUCUUUGUAUUAAGAUAGUGGAAUAAAAAAGGAUAAAUUUCCAGCUAUCCCAUCAAUUCAUUUCCUACAUAUCGCAAUUUUACCCCAUAAAAAACAUCUUUUUUUUUUUUUUUAAUGAAAAAAAGGGAAAGUUUCGUGGUGCUUUCUCAUGUAGUUGUUCAAAAAGGUUUGAUACAAAACAUUUUGUUUUGUUUUUUAAUAAAAAAGAAAAUAUAAAACCAACUAAGUGUCGUUCGUAUAAUUGAAUAUCAUGAACAAGUUAAAAUCCCAUGGCUAUAGUUCAUGUGGGAUUUAAAGUUCCUCUCAAUACACAAAUGAACAAUAAGACCUCGUAGAUAGAACUCACUUUUAAAAAUUGGUUUAUAAAAGAAUUGAGUUCGCGAGUUUUAUAUAUUCAUUUAAAUUGUCAUAUUUUUUAGUUCAUGUACGCCAUGCGGAACAUAAGAUCCUAACAUAUAUCUUAUCGUAUUGAAAAAAUAUUAUAUUUGGUCCAAAAUCCAAUGCAUAUCCAAUAUUCACUUGUCUAUGCAUAUCCAACAUUUUCUUGUGCACAUGCAUGUCAAAAUGUUGCCAUUCUGAUAGUAAGUUGAAUGAUAAGGUCUUAAUUCAAGUUGUUCUGUACACUAGCAUCUUAAUUGCACUUUCUCUGUCACAGAGUAUUUGAAUAUGUUUGAAGCAAGUUCAGCCCCCAAAUGAAUCAAUAGUUGAAAAACAGAAACUAUUUUCAGAACCAGUCAGGAUUAUUGAGAAAUACCCUGCUGGUGAUGCUGGUGAUAUUAAGAAGAAGAACAUGGUAUGCCUUAAUUGGUUGCUCUCAGAUAAGCCCUUAGACUUGGAAACGGAACUUGCCCUUGGGUUCUUGGAUCAUCUUAUGCUGGGAACUCCUGCUUCUCCCUUGAGGAAAAUUUUACUAGAAAGUGGUCUUGGAGAUGCCAUUGUUGGUGGUGGGAUUGAAGAUGAACUCCUUCAGCCUCAAUUUAGUAUCGGAUUGAAGAAUGUUUCUGAAGAUGACACUCAAAAGGUAGAAGAAUUAAUCAUGGAUACACUAAAAAAACUAGCAGACGAAGGUUUUUUUCAGAAUAUUUCAUAUUUUCUAUCUAGCAAGCCUUGCUUUGCUCCCACGACUCCAACGAAUACGUUGGGUCUAAGUCUUUUACCAUAGUAAGUCUAUAAUUCCGAGGUGCCAUAAGCAGGUGUACAUCCGAGGACAACUCAAAUUUAGAGUCUUAAGUUUCUUAUCCUACAUUAAAACUUCUCUUGAUCUAAACUUUUAUUUGCUAUUAAAUACCUAACAUACAUUCAAUUUGAAUUUUACACUAUUCUUUUAUUAUUAGAUAGCAAUUUUUUAUGUGGAAAUAUUCUGUAAGUUGUAAAAGCUAUUGUUAUCAAAAUUAUUUUUUCAUAGUUUAUUUCUUCUGUAUAUCAAAUGCUUAGCUUAUAAUUAUUCAUAACAUAUAAAUAUUACUAUACUAAAUAACCCGGUAAACAUAUACCUAUUUAAACUUCCAAAUGUAUAAUACAUCUAAGGAUAUAAGUAUAAAAUACUAGAUUUAAGAUAUUUUGAGUUUAUAAAAGCAAACAACUUACCACUUAUAUACUUAGGCAUCAAAAAAUGAAAACAGACAAAUGGAUUUAGAUUUGUUUAAACUUCAGUUAAACUAAUUUAAAUUUCAAAUAAAAAGAAUAAAUGUUAUCUUAAUAAAUAGUUAGUUGUUAGUAGGGCAGAUUAUUGAUAAUACCCGUUUUCACCAAAUUUUCAUUAGGAUCUGAUUCGUACUAGUUACCAGAUCAAAUCUGUCUCAAAUAAAUAAAUUUACAUUUGAGGGAGCUUGUGCUAAGUUUGGACUUAGAUGUUUUUUUCUGAUAUUUGUGAUAGGUGGUUUAACUAAGGUACCCUAGGUGGUGAGCCAAAAUAAUAUAUAGGAGUUAAUUUAGGGAGUAACUCAAGUGUCCCACCAAAUACUUAGCGUAGUUAGGGUAGCUCAAGUAUACUCGAGUGAUAGCUCAAGUGUCUCACCAAAUACUUAGUGUAAGUGGGGUACGUCAAGUAUGCUUACACAUGAACAUAAUUACAACUGUAAUUCUGUAAAUUGAAAAUAUAGCAAAAUAAACAUAGAGGCAAUGAACACACAUUGUUUACGUGGUUUAGCCUUUGACCUACGUCCACGGGAGUAAGUAAUCAUCAAUCCAUUAUAACACACAAUGUUUACGUGGUUUGCCAUUUAGCCUACGUCUAUAGGAGCAAGUAAUCACCAAUUCGUUAUAUAAAUGAAAUGUUAUAUAAGAUUCUACAUUAUAAAAGAUGAAUAAAAUAAGCUAGAUAGCUAUAUAGAGAUGUUUAGUCUUGAUAAAGAUGAAGAUGAUUGUUUCAGGUAGAUUUUGGGUGCAAAAGAAAAAAGGAAAACCUAACUAAAAUAAUAAAUUUAUUUUCGGGAUAUAAGGUACCUCACUUAGUUGCAAUUUGUGCGUUGUUUUGUGCAUUUUAAAAAAAUGAAGAAGAGUGAGAAGACAAUGAUAAUGGUGAGAGGUCCAAAUCUGGACUGAAAGAGCUUGAAAGGACACCUUAAACUAGCAAAACAAUAAAAAGGAUAUCAUAGGUGAAGCCGGAAGUGGCCAGUGACCAUGGUUCGAUGCUUAAGUCAGAGUUGGGUUAUCUAGCGUUUGAGAGCUUGUAAGCUCUCUUUAAUGAUUGCUGGAGGUUAGAGAAAACCUUAGUCUUUUAUGUGUGUGUUUGUUGUAUAUCUGAGCAAAAUAAAACUUUAGUGUCUUUCUAUAUAGAGCACCUUGACUACCCUACCACGUGGCAUAUAUUACAGUGGUGAUUUGCUGUCAUUUUCAAGUUUAUUUUAUCCUUUCACCAGUAUCAUGAUUUUGAGCCAUUAGUAGCAUGCUUGAGGAGCAAUAAGGACAUCAUUUGGUAUGGUUUGUUUUCUUGUACACGUGUUGUGCGUUGCAGAGUAGUCUAGGACACCUCUACAAAGGUUGUCUUGACAGCUUCUAUGCGUGGCAGCUAAGGACCACUGUCUUGGUGUGUUUCCUUUUGCUUUUUAUAGGUGUGACAGCAAGCUGCCCCUUCUUUUCUAGCAAGAUAUUUCCUAUUUGAUCUUGUCAAAUCAAAUAUUCUCUUAGGGUGAUGGAGGUAUUUCUCACGGUUGAUAUUUUAGAGACUUUUCUUUACCAUCUUACUUCUAGUAUGGAAUACUCCACGUACCAGCUCAAUUAUCAAGUGUACCCAGUGUAAGUUAGGUACCCUCUGUGAUUAUUUUUAAUCAUAAAAUUUUUCAUCAACACACAGCGCCACAUUAUUGAUCUUCAAUGUCUUCCCCAAACAAUAUCCUUCCUAGUACAGACACCCUUUUAUAAAAAUAAGCAAUGGAGCUAUUGGCACCCCUUUAAAAAUCGUAUCAAACCUUUCAUUUGAGUUAUUUUAUAAAAAAUUUAAUUAAAUGCACCCAUCUUCUUCAAGAAUAUUGGCAGCAAUCAGAUUUGUUGUUUAUGACCCAUAUAUAGAAUUUCAGUUACAAACCAUUCAUUAUCUAUCAUCAAACGAAUUCUUGAAAAGAACAAUUUUAAAUAAAAGACAGACUAAUGUAAAAGAAAAAUGACUCUAAAAGUAUACAAUUGUUUGUGAUAAAAAAGAAAAAGAAAAAAAAUGUCUCAUUCUUGUUCAAAGAAUAAAAAUAUGGAUUUAGUGGUGUGAAAAGAAAUCUCUCCAAAACUGAAUUGGAUAAGUUCAAGCUCUGAACUUGCAGUGUUGAACAAGCGCAAUCAUUAUAAAUUUAAAAUGAAAGAAAAUGCCAUUGAGUUUAGAAGAGUUUCGUAGAGAGAGAUGAGGUUCACUGAAGUUUUCUUGGGAAAAAUAAUUGGAAGGUUAUUUGUGGAAUUAAAUAGAGAUUAUUCUUAAAAGUGGUUGUACGAGGGCAUUCGAGGGAUGGCAAUAGUCCAACCCAAUAUUAAUUUCUGUGUUCAAUUGAUUUUCUGAGAAUUGUCAUACUUUUUUUAAUUAAUAAAUUUCCUUUGAACGGUUGAAGUUGGUAAAUAUAUAUAUAUAUAUAGGGUUCCUCUAUGAUGUUGUAAUUUUUUUACAGCAUCAAUAAUGUUUUUAAUUGUGUACCAUUGGAUUUAAUCAAUGGUACACAAUAUUUGUAGGUAAAAAUAAAAAUAAAAAAUAAUGGUAAACGGUUAACAAACGUGUAAGGGGUGGAGAAGUUUGUGAAAUAACUAUGACCACCCUUAGAGUUUGAAACAAUUUCACUUAAAUAUCACAUUUUAUUUAAAAUUAUUUUUCAGAAUAUAAUGGUAGGUUAUUUAACACAAAUCAAAUAAAUAAGUUGCAAUUGCAAAAUUUAUAUAUGAUAUAACACUAAUAAAUAACACAACAAGUACAUAUAGUUAAGUAAAUGUCAUAGAUACAUCAAUAAACUCAUUGUUGAGAUUGCUUGUAACAUAAAAAUUACUUGAUCACACAUGUUUUAAUAAAAUUUAAUAUUGUAUAUUAAAAUACUCAUUAUUUUAUAUAAUAUUAAGGGCCAUUGUAUAAUUGAUCAUGAAGUAUGUAUCAUUUUUAACACCCAUUUAACAAAUUUAUUUUAUGUACUUUAUAUUUAUCUUACAGUUAAUAUCCUUACAUGGUGGGAGUUUUAAGUUUUAUAAGCUUAUAUAUUUUCAUUACAGCAGAAUUAUAAAAUUUUAUGUUAUGAAGAGUCAUUACUUCUGUUAUGAUAGUUAAUAGUGACAAUAAAUAAAAUAUUGCCUCCGAUAAUAUUUACGUGGGAAAAAAGUGAAAUAAAAUCAUUUAUAUUUUUAAAUUUUUAUUGACAUGGUAGAAAAUUAUCUGAGCCUUAUAAAAUUUAACUUAUAGUAAUUAUAAAAUUUUUAUGUUACAAAGAGUCAUUACUUUUAUUAUGAUAAUUAAUAGUGACAAUAAAUAAAAUAUCACAUCAAAUAAUAUUUAAUGGACAAAAUGAGGAAAAAAAUGAUUGCAUGUUUUUAUAUUUCCAUUAUAACGAUAUAAUUUGGGAUACUUUAACUUAAAAUUUUGACACAAUAUUUGAGCCACUAAUAUAACAUAAUCUAAUGGUUGAUAUUGAAAGUCAAAGCAACAUUUCAUAAUGUUAUAUCCUCUACCAUUGAAUUGCAUGAAAUAAAUAGUUUAAUCUUUUGUUAAAAAUUUAAAUCAAAAUAUUUCUCACUCUAUAGUUAUAUAGACAUAUAUAUUUUUCAAUAAUAAUUGGUGAAUAAAAUAUUUCUCAUUUGUUGUGACUCAUAAUUUUAAAUAAAAUAUGCUAUUUAAGUGAAAUUAUUUCAAACUCUAAGGGUGGUCACAAUUAUUUUACAAAAAUUCUCCACCCACUUGAACGUUAACAAACUGUUUACUAUUAUUUUUAAAUUAUUUUUUUAGUACAAAUAUUAUACACCAUUGAUUAAAUCUAAUGAUUUACAAUUAAUACAUUAUUGAUGCUGUAAAUUUUUUACAGCAUCAUAGAGGAACCCAUAUAUAUAUAUAUAUAUAUAUACCCGUAAAAAUAGCAGCUGACAGAAAAAAAAAAAAAAAGGAAAUUGACAAUUAUAAAUAUAGUUAGAGGCACAUGAAUUCAGGCCUUCUCCUGAUGAUUCAAGAAAGAAGCAGUUCUCUCAAGCAUGGCCACAGCAUUUUCACAUGUGGGAUUUAUCAAAUGGAACACAUAUUGCUCUCCUUUGGACUCAACAAUCUCCACAUUGCCCCUACACCCGCUCUCCUUCAACUUGUCAUAAUAAAACCAUCCUCUAGAUCUCAGAAAAUCAUUCUCCGCAACAAAUACCUGCAUCCUGGCGCAUCCCAGGCUCGCUAGGUCCGAACCCGCAACGGCAGGAUUAAUCCACGGAUCAUCGCACCCACUUGUGCUACUUGGACAAGUCAAUCUCCACAAUCCCGCGACCCAGUCUCUUUUCUUAGCGUCAGCUGUUUCAUUACCAACAGCUUCUCUGCCCAGAAAAUACG
rnacentral:lncRNA from 1 species